ACGAACGCUGGCGGCGUGCUUAACACAUGCAGGUCGAACGGAAAGGCCCUGCUUUUGUGGGGUGCUCGAGUGGCGAACGGGUGAGUAACACGUGAGUAACCUGCCCUUGACUUUGGGAUAACUUCAGGAAACUGGGGCUAAUACCGGAUAGGAGCUCCUGCUGCAUGGUGGGGGUUGGAAAGUUUCGGCGGUUGGGGAUGGACUCGCGGCUUAUCAGCUUGUUGGUGGGGUAGUGGCUUACCAAGGCUUUGACGGGUAGCCGGCCUGAGAGGGUGACCGGCCACAUUGGGACUGAGAUACGGCCCAGACUCCUACGGGAGGCAGCAGUGGGGAAUAUUGCACAAUGGGCGGAAGCCUGAUGCAGCAACGCCGCGUGCGGGAUGACGGCCUUCGGGCUGUAAACCGCUUUCGCCUGUGACGAAGCGUGAGUGACGGUAAUGGGUAAAGAAGCACCGGCUAACUACGU
rnacentral:rRNA from 1 species